CCUUGUUGCCUAUGGGUGACGUGAAGUCAUCACUGGAUUUGGAGGCUAGCACACCUUCAUGUUGGCCUUACUGAGCAUUUGGUCCUUUCUCCAUGGGACAAAAAAUUCAAAGGAUGAUGCUGUUAGUGAAGAUCUGGGAACUAGGACCCAAGAGAAGAUGCUAGGCUCCAAGGAAGUGGUUAUUUCCUCUUUUUCUAUACCACCUCCAGUGCAAUGGUCUUAGGACAGGCAGUGCCAUCAGACCUGACCAGGAACUCCUAACAGAAGACACUCUAUGAAGGCGAGGACCUCUCCCACUGGCACUGGGAGAGAAAACAUUCUUGCUAUCAAAGGCAUGUGAGAAGGCCUGGUUGCCAAGUAACCCAGUAUCACAUCCUGUCGGGCUACCAAGUACUCUAUAAUGCAUACCUUUUUAAGCAUCAGGGUUAUUGAAUAGAGAAGUCAUCUGGGAGGACCUGAUUUUGAGACUGUUACUCUAUACUUCUCUAAUGGGAAAUACUUAAUGUGUGUUUACUGGAAGUGAAGCGUUACCAUUCAUUCUGUGGCUCGCUUGGACCAUGCUGAUUAAAACAUGUUUGAGAGAUCCA